GAUGAACGCUGGCGGCGUGCCUAAUACAUGCAAGUCGAACGCUGGAAAUCUAGCUUGCUAGAUUGAAGGAGUGGCGAACGGGUGAGUAAUACAUAAGCAACCUACCCACGAAGACUGGGAUAAUCUCUGGAAACGGGGACUAAUACCGGAUAGGUAAUCGGAAGGCAUCUUCUGAUUAUUAAAGGUUAAAAACACUGGUGGAUGGGCUUAUGGCGCAUUAGUUAGUUGGUGAGGUAACGGCCCACCAAGACGAUGAUGCGUAGCCGGCCUGAGAGGGUGAACGGCCACAUUGGGACUGAGACACGGCCCAGACUCCUACGGGAGGCAGCAGUAGGGAAUUUUCGGCAAUGGGGGAAACCCUGACCGAGCAACGCCGCGUGAGUGAUGACGGCAUUCGGGUUGUAAAGCUCUGUUGUAAGGGAAGAACGGUAGAUAGAGAAUAUCUAAAUGACGGUACCUUACCAGAAAGCCACGGCUAACUACGUG
rnacentral:rRNA from 1 species